GCCAAUUUCGCUUAGUGGUAAAGCAGCUGACUCGUAAUUAGCCGCCAUGAGUGCGAUUCUCAUAAUUGGCACCA
rnacentral:tRNA from 1 species